AGAACGAACGCUGGCGGCGUGGAUAAGACAUGCAAGUCGAACGGAACAUUAUCUGUAGCAAUACAGGUGAUGUUUAGUGGCGAACGGGUGAGUAACACGUGGGUAACCUGCCUCGAUGACUGGGACAACCCGGGGAAACCCGGGCUAAUACCGGAUGUGCUCCUUCACAUCAGUGAAGACAGGAAAGGAAGCUUCGGCCUCCGCAUCGAGAUGGGCCCGCGGCCCAUUAGCUUGUUGGUGAGGUAACGGCUCACCAAGGCUGCGAUGGGUAGCUGGUCUGAGAGGACGAUCAGCCACACUGGGACUGAGACACGGCCCAGACUCCUACGGGAGGCAGCAGUGGGGAAUCUUGCGCAAUGCGCGAAAGCGUGACGCAGCAACGGCCGCGUGGGGAAGACGGCCUUCGGUUGUAACCCCUUUCGAGGAGGACGAAGCGUCGAGCGGUUAAUAGCUGACUCGUGUGACGGUACCUCCGAGAAGAACGCCCGGACUAACUACGUGCCGACG
rnacentral:rRNA from 1 species